rnacentral:rRNA from 1 species
GAUCAUGGCUCAGGAUGAACGCCGGCGGCGUGCUUAACACAUGCAAGUCGAACGGGAAAUACUUUAUUGAAACUUCGGUCGAUUUAAUCUAUUUCUAGUGGCGGACGGGUGAGUAACGCGUGGGUAACCUGCCUUAUACUGGGGGAUAACAGCCAGAAAUGACUGCUAAUACCGCAUAAGCGCACGGGGCCGCAUGGUCCUGUGUGAAAAACUCCGGUGGUAUAAGAUGGACCCGCGUUGGAUUAGCUAGUUGG